GAUGAAGAACGUAGCGAAACGCGAUAGUUAAUGUGAAUUGCAGAAUUCAGUGAAUCAUCGAGUCUUUGAACGCACAUUGCGCCCUUUGGCAUUCCGAAGGGCAUGCCUGUUCGAGCGUCAUUUAUCAACCCUCAAGCCCGGCUUGCGGUUGGGUCCCGCCGUGGGCGACCACGGCGGACCCGAAAGGUAAUGGCGGUGCCCGUGGGGCCCUGGACGCAGCGAGCUUCUCGGCACGCGUCCCGGCGGUCCCCGGCGCCGUCUCCACCAAUCCACCACGCAGAUUGACCUCGGAUCAGGUAGGGAUACCCGCUGAACUUAAGCAUAUCAAUAAGCGGAGGA
rnacentral:misc_RNA from 1 species